UCCCGCUCUGUGCUCGGGCGUUGGCGCGAAGCUCUGUCAGUCAAGUGGGCUCUAGAAGCGGAUUGGUUCCUCGCGAUCAGCCCGUGGCGCUUUUCCUUCUGAUUGGGGCCCUGGCCGCCCCGCCUCCCAACGCUCCCUCUGUCCUUGACCCUCACCUGCUAAAAGGGCAGAGGGGAAGUGAAGUCUAGGCGUGGCCGCACCUGCGUCCUAGUCGGCUCUGACCUCCCUAUCGAGUGAGGCUCAGCUUCGCCUCGGCCGCACCUCUGAGCUCUGAGGCCGCCCCUGCCCCAAACGAGAAUGUCCACGUGUUGAAUCCAUUAUAUUUACUUCAGUAGCAGAGAUCACACCUGGAAUGUGUCCGUCUUCUACUGAUUGGAUGAGGCCCACCCUCAUGAGGAAGGACAACCUGCUUCUCCCAGUCUGUCUGUCCAAGUGUUAACUUCAUCUGGAAGCUCACUCAACAGAAACACCCACAAUAAUAUCUGACCAAAUGUCUGGGCACCCUAUGGCCCCAUUAAGUUGAUAUAGUAAUUAAUCAUCACAACACUACAAAUCUUAACAAUGUUAACAAUAUCUGACCAUAGAUGGAAAAGAACAUAUAACCCAAGUUAGAGUGGGGUGCACAGAGAAUUGUGUAGGGCUGCCACCCCAGGAGUAAUUCUUCACCUCGCAAGGCAUGCCUCUUAAGCCACUUGUAAAACUCUGUUAUUAAAAUUAUGGAUAUUUUUUCCUAGUCCUUUUCUAAGAACUAUAAAGUCACCCAUUUUCCCAGGGCUGCGAUAUAAUGUGAGCAGUAGGAUGAACAGGCUUCAGAAUUGGAGAGAUGAGCUCCGUGCUGUUUCAGCACUUGACUUGUGAAAUAUCUGAGGCCAGGAACUUCUGGUCUUUGGUUCUCAUUUUUUCCUUCUGUAAAAUAGGGACAAACUGUACCUGUCAGUCGUUGUACUGUUGAGAAGAGUGAAGAUAAUACGUACUUGAGCAUUUAGUAUGUGCUAGAUAAGUGGAAUUUGGUACUUACUUUCUACCAAAAAUUUAACACAACAGCCAAGGAAAUCACUUAAUCGACAUUAAUCAGGAGGUUUACAUUCCUCACGUGGUGGGGAGAAGAGUGAGAGAGGCAGCUUUCUAGUAAUUGCUAAGCUGAAGAGAAGAGUUGAACACAAGUGCUGUCACUGUAAGAGUUUCUCUGAAGUGCCAGAUCAGUGGACAGAAGACAUAGCCCUGCUUGAGACUUGAGCCAGCCUCUCCUACUGCCUCCGUGACACUGGAGGGAGAGGCCAAGGAGUGCGUCCACUACAUAAAAGAGUACACGGGGCAGAGAAGCAGGCAUGAUCUAUAUAAGAGAGACAGACGUGACUUAAUGCUGUGCAAAGGGUCAAAGCAUCUUCUCAGCCACACAGUGAGACCAAGGUGUAUCUCCUGGUCUGUUUCUCACGUCUAGCAGUGGGCUGGUGCAUCAGUGAUCUGUAACAGCAAUGCAGGGUGUCUGCUCGUCCUGCCUCAGAGAACCACAGAAUUGGUUGGGAGAUGCAGUCCGCAUCGCCUAGACACCCCCUGGAACUGCUCUCAAAUCUCAUCCAUUUAAAGGUAUGUAUUUAAAUCUCUCUGACAGAGGAAGUUAGAUGCUGAAGAUUGAAAUACACACUCAUCUCCUAUAAUCUUAGAUUCUUCUUGGGUUGUAAAAGUUCUUUCAAAGUUUAGGAUGAUAGGUGUUGACAAGGCUGUGUGAUCCACAUGGGAUAAUGUAAAGCAGAGAUUGCUACCCUGACCUUCAAGCUGUCUAGUGAGGGGGAGAUGGAGGGAAGGAGGUGGGUAGAUACUGAACACAACACUUUCAUUCUGCAUGUGAUUAUAUACAUGUGCGUGUGUAUCUAUACAUACAAUUAACUUUAAAAAAUAUUUUUAGGGGCAUUAAAAAAUACCUCUAUUUUCCAAUUCUUUAAUGUGGCCAUGAUUACCACUGGAAACUACCAAAGUUUAAGUAAUAUACUGAUUCCACCCGCCCCCCCCCCCCGCCCAAGCUCUGUUCGUUAUAUGUUUCCGUUGAGAUGAAGAGCAUCUCUACUGCCCAAGCCAGACACUCAGAAAUCCUCCUCCACCAACCAUAUCUAUUUUAAAACCACCACCUUUUCUCCACCCCGCUGCCGUUCUUCAGGAUGAAUCUCUCACUGUUCUCACUUGAACUGCUGCAGUGCCUCCACUCGGAUCUUGCCUCCUCUGUGCAGUUUUAUUGAAUAUCCUCGGGGCUUCAAACCCAUGUGGGCAUUGGGCAUAUGAAGAUAAAUGGGUCACAGGAUCCCUGCUCUUGCAGGCCUCCAGGCCAGUUGGAAAGAAAGAAGUAACAAAUGUGAUAAGCGUCAAAACUGACAUGGGAAGAGUAUCAAGGAGGCAGGAAGGACAAUCUCAGACUUGCUCUCAGGGAGGAGGAGGACAAAGCAGAGGGGAGAGGAUGAAGGAAGACAUUCUGAUGGAUGUGGUACUGGAGAUGUUAAAGAAAAAACGAAAGAUGGUUACCGAAGAAGGUGAGGAAGACAUUUCCAAGAGAAAAACAUGAUGGGAGAAAUACACUGAGGAGAGAGUGGCAACAUGGGGACAAUCGAGAUAAAUGAUGACAACAAUCUACAUUCGGCACCUACAUCCAUACCACAAAGCACAUCUUUCCGGACCUUUAAACCAGUACAUCAAAGAACGAUACUAUAUGGUGAAACUUCCAUUUCUGUUAACAGGUAAACAUUGAUAGGCAAGUAAAUGGUUAGAGACUCUUAACUUUUAUAGUUAUUGAGUGAUAUAACAAGCCUGAAGGUACUAGAAUUUAUAGUAAGUAAUUUAUAUAGUUAUUUCAUUCAGCGUUUAUAAUUUAACUUUGGUAAUAAUGACUGUUUACAAAAUGGGAAGUUGAGGCUCAAGAUUGAAUUAUGAGCAUAAAGAUGUAAAACCAGUAGAAACCUGCUUAACUCAAAGUUUAUACUCUUUUUAAUGCUCUUCUGGCCAUAGAUAUUAAUAUUAAAUGAAAGCAUAGAGUCCUUUUCAUGUGCCUAAGAUCCAACCAUAAAUGUACUGGCCAAAAAAGUUACCACGGCAGUUUAACAUCAUUCUGAAAAAGAAAGAGAUACAGGAUAAUAAAAAUAGCUAACAUUUAUAGAGCCAGUACUUUGUGUCAGGUGCUGAUCCCUGGGUUUCACACAGUAUUUAAUUUAAUUCUUAUAAAUAUUACUCCUAUAAAAACAGUGAGGCUUUGUCUUCCAGUAAGGUGGAGUAGACAUGCUUGGCACUAUUUCUGCUGCUAAAAAUGACUGAGAACCCUGGACACAUAUAAAAACUUAUAUCAUAAACCUAUGCAGAUGGUGAAAGGUGGAGAGAAAUAGGCAGACUGGCUAGUGAACGUGGGACCCAAGAACAAUACAGUGGUGAGUUCCUUGGGUUUUAUUUUUGCCUAAGAUAUCCCAGAUACUGAACAAGUGGACAACACGAACACGACUGGGCGGGCACAUGCAUAAAGAGCUUCGAGAGAAACCUGAUCUCUUUAGCCAUAGGACCAGGGGCAGGAGCAACCUAGUAAGAAGAGUUUUGACAAACAUGAUGGAAAAACUGACUAUCUACAGGCACUCACGUCAGCAAAAGUGGAAUGGAGAGCCUAGCAUCCCACCCCUCCCAGGAUGUAAUGAGAUGCAUCAACUCUCCUCUUCCUAACCAUGGGAAGGCAGAGUGGGUAGCCAGUCCAGGGGUAGCAAGUGUCUACCACUUCCCCUCCACCAUCAGUGGAGGUCAUGUGACACAUGGGAUCUUGGAUUCCACCCCUACCUGGAAGUAAAAUGGCAUUCCUCCCUGUCCUUCCUGGGGUGGAGCCAGAGGCCCACUGAAGAUGUAGGACUUUUCACUGCCAGGGGAUAUGCCCCUCCCUCUCUCAGCCAAAGUGGUAUCAGAGGAUGCAAACAGGGGAGCCUGAACUCUCAACACCAUCCAGCAGUAAAAAGAGCCCUUCCUAUCCCAGAUGUCCAAGAGGUGAGGUGGAAAAUCUGGACUUCUAUCUCAACACAGCAGUAAUGAGCUGGUGGCCUUAACAGAGCAGUGUCAGAAAAGACCCACCAAAAUACAAGAUAUAAAUAGGAUCUAGAGUCUUAUUAUGAAAUAUCCAGUAUAUCCCCAAACCAUGAAUAUAUCAAGUUGAAAGAGAGAAGAAUCAACAGACACCGACACGGGACACAGAUGUCAGAAUUAUCUAUCAGGAAUUUUAAAGUAGCCUUUACAGAGAUGCCUCAGUGAGCAAUUACAUA